rnacentral:rRNA from 1 species
AGUGAACGCUGGCGGUAGGCCUAACACAUGCAAGUCGAACGGCAGCACAGUAAGAGCUUGCUCUUACGGGUGGCGAGUGGCGGACGGGUGAGGAAUACAUCGGAAUCUACUUUUUCGUGGGGGAUAACGUAGGGAAACUUACGCUAAUACCGCAUACGACCUACGGGUGAAAGCAGGGGAUCUUCGGACCUUGCGCGAUUGAAUGAGCCGAUGUCGGAUUAGCUAGUUGGCGGGGUAAAGGCCCACCAAGGCGACGAUCCGUAGCUGGUCUGAGAGGAUGAUCAGCCACACUGGAACUGAGACACGGUCCAGACUCCUACGGGAGGCAGCAGUGGGGAAUAUUGGACAAUGGGCGCAAGCCUGAUCCAGCCAUACCGCGUGGGUGAAGAAGGCCUUCGGGUUGUAAAGCCCUUUUGUUGGGAAAGGAAAGCAGCAGGUUAAUCCACCGCUGUUUUGACGGUACCCAAAGAAUAAGCACCGGCUAACUUCGUG